rnacentral:rRNA from 1 species
UACGGAGGGUGCAAGCGUUAAUCGGAAUUACUGGGCGUAAAGCGCACGCAGGUGGCUGAGUCAGUCGAUUGUGAAAGCCCUGGGCUUAACCUGGGAAUUGCGGUCGAUACUACUCAGCUAGAGUAUGGGAGAGGGUAGUGGAAUUCCCGGUGUAGCGGUGAAAUGCGUAGAUAUCAAGUGGAACACCAGUGGCGAAGGCGAGUCCCUGGACAACUCCUGACACUGAGGCACGAAAGCUAGGGGAGCAAACAGG